rnacentral:lncRNA from 1 species
AUUCUUCUGCCAUCUCUGCUGCUACCAAUGCCUGGACCACCACUGCUGCCCUGACAAAAGACAAGAGCCACUGAGAUUCUUCCUACUGAUGCCCCUGGCCCAUCUGUGUCUUGCUAUUCUUACUUUGUUAUUUACCUCUUAGAGUUUCACCUAGACUUUUACGGUCCUUGUAGGAAAAGGCAGUUUCAUAUCCUAUUGACUCAAUUUCUCAGUGUGACUAUUUGACAAGAAGCUAUGCCAUCUAAGGUGGGUAGGUUCUAUGUUGCUCUUAUUACAUUGCCUUAGGCGAAUUCUAAAUCAGGUUAUACAGGCUUUUGAAGGGUGGCCUUGCAUGCCAACCAGUAUUUAUGACACUGGUUUUAGAGGGAAACACAUUCCAAAUUUCAAAUAGUAAGCUUAAAAGUGAACUGUUAGAGUAUGAUUCAUUUUAAGUAGGAACUAUUCUGGGAGCCGGAAGAACAGGUGCUAGCACCUGUUACAAGUGAAUUCUUAUCGAAACCACAGGGAGACCCUUUGGGUAGCCAGCUUAGAGUCCCUUCUCUACUGGGAGUGUAACUUCUCACACUAAGCCCCAGGCUCAGAGGGCAGACAAGCUGGAUUAGCUAGGGUUUGCUUCUCUGAUGUGGAAAAAAAAAUAGAUAUCUGGUAAUUUCCUUGGAUUCCUUUUGGACAUGAUCUUGUGUACAAAUCUGUGCCAAAUGAACUUAAUCUGCCAAGAGAGGAAAAGAAAAAUACCUUAAUCUAUGGAUCUAGCUACCAACUGAAGGAAGUCAAUAAGAAAAUAACUGGAAUCUUAGCAGGUUCUAGAAAAAGUAAGAAAAGAGGUAUAUGUUGUACAAGUAUGCAAUUAAACUAAGAGAAGUUUGGAGUAAUUAAAAGAUAAGCACAAAAAUACCUCACUUUCUACAUCAAAUGACAAAUAUUUAUAUCAAAUUUUUCAAAGAUAGGAAUGUUUAUCAUUUUAGACUAGGAAAGAUACAACACAGAAGACUCUAAUACUCAGAGGGUUUUCCAGUUCUGAGUAUCUUAUGUAUUUUUCCCCUGUUACUCUAAAUUUGUCAAACUGCACAAAUUGAUUCAUUAGAUUGAGUGUUAAGUCUACCUAAACUAGAAUGUGAUAGUGAUGGGCCAGUGACUUCUUUGGAGAAAUCUCUAAAACAUCUAUGCUGAUGAGUUUUGAAACUGGGUUCAGGGUGUCCUGAGACAUCUGGGAGUUGUUGAAAUAAAGUAUAUCUGUGGUGGAUUUAAGAAUUACUCUAUAUUUCAGGUCAUGAUAGGAGGGAUACUUAGCUCCCAAGUUUUAAAGAAUUUAGAAGAGUGCUGCCUUUCUCAAAUAUUGUUAUGUAAUUGAUUAUUCAGCAUGCCUUUUGUUAUGGGGUCCACACAGUAACAAUCUAUUUUCAGUGUCUGACCUUCACUAGCCCCUGAGCUCCAUGAAGACAAGAAUCAUGGCUUAUGGGAAUGCACAAUUGUUUGUUGAAUAAAUAAUUGAAUAAAUGAGAGAAAAAAAGAGUUUAUUGUGAGCAUUUUAUUAAAAAAAGCGAAAUGCUACUUCUUGAUAGAAAGAUUAAAUAAAGUCAUUUCCCAAUAAUAAAGUUAAAACAAAAUUUAAAAUAAUAUAAUGGACUGAAGUUUUAAGUUUGGUGGGAAAUCUGUGGCUUUAAGAAGGAAGAAAUAGACUAUACUUUUUAAAGAUAGAAAGCAUGGCAUGCCCUCCAAAAUUAACCUAGUGGAACAUGGUGUGUAAAGUCUCCCAAACCCAUCAAUUUUAGCCUUACUUUAUAGUAAUAAACACUUUUUAUUGCCAAAGUAAAUUAGGACAAUGAUCUGGGUAAAAUAAUGCUCUUGAGCUGGAUAAGAAAGACUUUGAUUUUCUUGCCAAAUUUAAAGCAAUGACCUUCGUUCUAAGUGUGAAAGCAGCAUAUCAUUGUUGUAUAAAGACAUGAGUGAACCCCACUGAAACUCUUCCACCGUGAGGUUCUGUCAUACCAGCUCAAAUAGUGAGUAAUCAGGAAUGGUUCAAUACAUUAAACAUUCUUUUGGCAUGGUGAUCCUUUUGUCAGGUCAGAAUCAUUAUGACUAGAACUGAAAAUUGAGUGCCAGUCAUGGCAGGAUAUUUAGAUUUCUUCAACCCAUGUAUCUUUUUACAUUGCCACUAUGUCUAUUUUCAAGAGGGAUGGUUCAGACUCAGGCUUAAAGGAUUAAAAAACUCUCUCCAGCACUUACAGUGAGGCUGUAGACAAGUUCCUGAGCCUUUCGGGGCCUCAAGUCCUUUGUAAGCUAGGGUAAUAAUUGUACCUGCCUCAUAAAAGAUUAAAUGGGAAAAUACUCAGUAAAUGUUGCUUUCUUUUAUUUUUCUCUGUGAUGAUUGUUUCAAACUCCAUUACCGUUUCUAGAUCUUUCAUUUCCUUAAGGUUUUCAGUAGUCAGCCCAAACUUUUAACAUUCCUCUUUGUGGAAAUCAUAGCAGCCUAAAGAGUCUAGUUUGCCAAAACUAUUUGCUACAUCUUAUAGAGAAAUUAAAUCAUGCUUGGGGUGUACCUGUGUGUCUGUAUAUAAAAGAGCCUCAACCCUGAGUCUUACCACAGUGAAAGCAGGUGGACCCCACUCUUGGCUAUGAGCCAAAUCCUAUUACUAGGCCUUAUUGAUUCCAGGCUGGCUACAGUUGCUUCCUCUUGUUGUUGCUUUUCCUUCUCACCUCUUAAGGGAGUUGGAAAACUCUAAAUUCAACUUAUGAAAGAAUAUGAAAGUGCUUCUAUUAUUUGUAUAUUUCCCAGAAACUAACCAUCUAGAAGUCAUUUCCUAAGUUAUAAAGAAACACUUUUUUUCCUGAAUUUUUCAUCACAUGAAUAAAACUGGGUUUUCCAUUAUGAUCAUACAACACAAACCACCAGACUGUAAAACUAACAUUUUUCAGUUGGGUUUCUUGCUUACUAUUUUCAAAGUGACUGUUUUCUUGUCCUGCGACAGUGUUCAGGGUGAGAACCACGGUUUUUUUUUCCUUAGUUUGUUUUUGAUGUGUUGUUUUGCAAAACGCUGUGAAAUAAGUGAGGACAUAAGAUGAUUACUGAACUAUUUCUGUUGAGCAAGUGGGUAAACCUCUCCUGGUAGAAGAAUCAGAACCUCAUCAGCCCAAGAGGCUGAGUCAUCUUUGUGACUGAGAGGUUCAUGCUUCACCUUAAGUCCUUGGUACCUAAAAUGGGACUGUAUGAUGUGCCCUGUGAAAUCAAUAAAACUGUCAGGUUAUAAUUAACGUGUGGUGCUACUCUAAUUAAACAGAAUUGAUGGGAAAUAUCUGGGAGUCUAGUAGCAAUGGAACAAUGAUGUUUGCAUUUAAAUGAUCUUAAGUACUCCUUAGACUUAAUGCCCUAUUAAGGGGACCGGGAGAAUGUCACAUCUCACUUAGCUGUAUUGUGUUAGACAGUGGCCGCUGGCCGGGAAGGACCAGAGUGCAUUAAGCUUGCGUUGUGGUGUCUGCCUUUGCAGACAGAAGAUUUGGGAAUGUAUAUUCUUUUCUUUUUUCUUUUUUUUUUUCUUCAAAGGAAAUUAAAUCACAGCCCUGACAGGAGAGGGUAAAAUCUCUGAGAAGACCUCCCCAGUGCUUGGAAUUUACAGACUCUACCACGUCCCAGUUUGCUAUUGUCCUAAGGCAACACACUCCCCUGCCGCUCUCAGGCGUCUUUGGCGGCUGGCCAGCCUCCCAGGGCCUCUGGCUUUGAUGUGUGGUGCAGGCUGUCCUCAGGCCAGGCUGUUGUUGCCGUGGCCUGGACUUCGCUCACACUGGAUGCCAGGAGGGAUGUCCUGUCUGCAAUAUACAUUUCGACAGCCUGACAGUCCUAGUGAUCGUCCUGCGGCAGGGGGAGCCUGCCUUUGUCUCAGCCACAAGUGGCUGUCCCCAGUCGCUUAGCUUUGCUGUGCUCUCUUUUGGUGUCUGCGGAAGACGAGUUUGCACCCAGCUUGUUGUCCGGGGGAGGGCCUCUCUGCCUGGGGAAGACAGCAGCUCUGCCAGGGCGCUGUCAAUCUGAGGAGCCUCCUUGGCAGGGCUCUGGGGAACCGACCCGGCGAGUUGAACAGCUUCCUCUGGGGACAUUGCAUCGACCUUCAUUUGAUUUAAGCCUGGCAGCCUGGUUAGUGAGGACAUCAAUUCUGGCUCGGGAAAUCUUCCUUAACUGAACCUUUGUUUCCACCAUGGUCCCAGGCUUGUAGUUAGAAGUCUGUGCUGUUGCAAAUUUAACUCUGUAACUUCUGGUAAUAUCCAUGUGUAAUUCUAAAAGCAGGUGACACAGAAACACAGAUGAUUAUAGUGAUAGGUACCAAGGAGAAAAAAAUGGGACUACGCCUAAUAAUUAGUCAAAAGACAUACGUAUAUAUACACACACACACUUUGAAGAGAGAAAGAGAGAGAGGGAGGGAGAGAGAACUUAUUGUUGAUUAAUUGUUUUCAGAAGAGCCACUUCAAUUCCAAUAAGAAUCACCUCAGAGAACUGAAAGUAAACCAUAUCUGCUUCUAGUGUCUAUGACACACCUUGCACUGUGCCUUAAUAGGAUUACUAAUAUUUCCCACAGAGGAGGAAGUCUUGCUUCUAUUCUUGCAAAACCCCUCCCCCAAAUCUGUCUCUUCACCAACAGUUAUUUGUUUGUAUUAAGUUUCAUGAUGUCCCAAGAUUUUUGUUUGUUUUUGCUGUUUUCUUAAUGUAAAUGUUUUCAUAAUGAGAACACGUUACAUUUUUGACAACCUAGCAUGAAAAAUCUUACCAGCUCUUUUCUGCAGUAGAUGCAGCGUGCAGCCUGCAAAGACCCCAUGUCCAGGUUAGGCCAGGUCACCUGAACAGGACCAGGAUAGAAAGGGGAAGAGAUUUGUAGAAGACACACUUCGUGGUCUCACUAGGGUGUGCCUGUUUGCAUUUUGUUUAUUGUUUUUGCAACCAUUCAUAUGUGUUUAUUGUUUUUGUAACCAUUCAUAAGUAGCAGUAAUUUAGCAUUCUCAUAUUAAUAUUUUUUUUCUUGUCACUAAAAAGAAAAUAUCGAUGAACAUUUGAAAAAAGAAAAUGAAGAGUAGUUUCUAGCUCUACCAUGGAUUUGAACAUACUACGAAACAACAGUAAUUAAAACUAACACACACACACACAAAGUUCAUGUGAUUAUGCACAUGAAAACGACCUAACACAAUGCCAGUCACAUCAUACUGGCAGUCUGAACAAAAGUUCCAUUUUAAAUAUGUGGAUUGAUGUAACUAAAGGCUGAUAAGCAAGUUUAACAUAGUUGCUGUUCAGUAAACUCUUGCUAGCCAUGAUUGAAUUUUUGCCUAUGAGAGGCACAGUGGCUCUACGAUGCAAAGGGGAAAACAGUAGAAUAGUAUUCAGGAAAACUGCUUCUAGUUGCAUGACCUUUUGCAAGUGACCUUCUGGGCUUCAGUUUCAUUGUCAAUGAAAGGAGAGUGUUUGAUGACUAUUAAAAGAGUUAUUUAGGUCUAUAGAGACAUUAUGAUACACAGGCUUACUCGAGAGUGUGGUUGCUACUCUAGAGGGCUCCUCAAAAAGCUCAUUUACUGUGAUCAGUAUUGCAACAGUAUGAUCAAUUCAACUGCUCCCAGGGAGUGUCCUGGUGAACUCAGGGAGCAUGGUUCCUGUGUACUACUCCCGGUAGACCACUCAGCUAGAGAAAGUCACUCAAGCCCAGCAUUGUGUGUACAUCUGAUUUAUUACAUGCGAAUAACUGAAACAAACCAAUUGGUGACAAGCAUGAUCAAAUAUUAGCUAAUGAUAAAUUGCUCCAUUGUUUAGACCAUGUAACAUAUAACUGAAAUACAAAGGUCAGAUGUCCUUAGAUUUUCUGAUAGAGCCAAAAAACACUAAGAGUCCCUCCCCCAACCCCCAACCCCUGCCCAGGUUGGUACUCUAUGGGAACACUGAAAAAUUCCUAAGUAGAUUGAAGUCACUGACCACUUAGACAACCAGUUAGAAAUGAGAGCAUAGUUGCUGCAAUACAGGUGAAAAACCUUUUAACAUAUUGCUUAAUGACUGGUUGUCUUAGGAAAUGGAAGACCUCUUACGAGGCAAGAAUUACAUAAUUUUAGAAAACAAUACCCUACCUAAGAAAUGAAGAGGGACUGAAAAAGACUUUUGCAAAUCAUGAUUUCUGUAAUAAGAAUAGAAAUCUUAAGGAAGGACUUGAUGGAUUCAGCUUCCUUGUUGCACUGUGCUGCUGUGGAAAGCUCCUGAGGUUGAGAACACAUUAGUUACCAGGAGGAGUUUAGGCUUUUAGCAAAUUAUUGGUGCUGCCAAGACAGAAUUUAGUGGGAACAGGACUUUGGCUACUGUUAAAAUGUCAGUAUAGUAAAGCCUGCUCUGUCAAACAGAUUUUUGGCAUCAGAAAUUUAUAUGAUACUGAUUUUAGGGCUUGGUCACAAGAUUUGAAUUUCUGAAAUUCUAAAUGUUAUUCAUGAUUCUAAAAUUGUACAGCUUGUUACUUAAUUUUCCUCCAAAUAAACUGGAGCUAUUUUAAAACCUGAUGACUGAUAACGAACAAGAGAGGAAAGUGUCUAAUCAUCUGGGAAGACAGCUUCUAAACUAAACCCACUAAUAGUGUCUGCUUUACCUGUGAACAUCUUAAGACAAGAUGAUGUCAGGUGGUUUUUUAGCGAUAGCGUUGUAGUUUAUGUAGUGCCAACAACUGCCCUAAGCUUUGUCUAAAAUAAUCUCCCUUUGUCUAAAAUAAUCUCCACUGCCUAAGAACUUGAUAUGCUAGUGUAGCUUUUGAGCAUCCACUAUAAUAAAUGUUAGAAGAUGAAAUUAAUAAUCUGAACCACUAACUUAAAUGUCUUUAUUUGCAACAUUUAAUUUUCCAUCUACUCCCAAGUUUGGCUUUUACAGUUAUUUCCAAAGUAUCCUAAGUGUUAAGUGACAUUUAAAUUGGUGGUACCUAAUUUAAAUUAUGUUCAAGCGACUGUUUUAUCAGUGCCUCCUGAGAAUGGACAUGGCCUGGACAUUGAGUGCAGAUGGCCUCCUUGUGUAUUGCACUGUGAGUUCUGGACUCCUCUGGUUGAGUCAGCUCAUUGGGGUCACUGUGCUUUGUAACAAUUGUUUUGCAUUAAAUAAGGAUGCUGCUUAGUUCAUAAGGCUCUAUGAGGAUUAAAUACCUGGCAGGUACUAGGAGUUCACAGUAGUGGUUAUGAUGAUGGUGAUUAAUAGGGGUAAUAGUCAUUGCAGUCACUGGUUAAAUGUAACCAGAAUUAUAUUUCAUCUAUCACGUGACUGAUUCUUUAGCCUGUCAACAUGGUCUUUACUCAAAGAGCUAGGUAUAUUUUCUCAAUUAAAUCAAAUACUUCUUUUGGUAAGGAAGGACUUCAUAUGGAAUCGUUUGCAGUAUAGGAUGGCUGUGUGAAGGAGCCUCUCAUUUUUCACUCUCCAUGCAAAACCUACACAGUGAAUCUUAGUGACUGAUCAUAUGCCUUGUUUCUAUGAUGGCAUGAAUUAAUAUUUGUGUAAUGACUUACUCUCUGUCUGCAAAUGGCUUCCAUGUACAUUAUCUCAUUUGAGGCAAUAGCUAUUAUGUAGUUAUUACUCACACUUUAUUUUGUGUAUAAGGGACCGGAGGCUUCAUGGUGGGGGGGUUGGUUUUAGUUGAGUAAUUUGCUUAAAGUCACAGCACUAGUGAGUCAUAGAACCAGAAUCCAACUCUGUUUCUCCCAUUUUUGGCUAACAUGUCAGUCACUACCAAGUCACCAGUCUAGUUAACUGGCAGUGUUCAAAUGUUGGAGCGUUGUGGAUGUGGCCACUAUGUUCUUUUUAUUAUGACUGACAUAAAGAAAUAGAAGCCAGCCGUAUCAAAAUCUGGGGGCAGAGUCAAAUCUUAUACUUUUAGGGAAUCUUGAGGUAGUCCAAGGAAUAAAAUGCUGUAGAAAGAUGUGGACUGUAAAUUUUCCAGACCUCUGUCAGUUAUCACCUUCUGGAAACUGAAACCUGAUGAUACCAAUUGUUAAGUUUACCCAAUCACUUCCCUGAUCUGAGAAUCUCAUGAUUUCCAAGCAAUAUCCCUUGUGGAUCAAGAAUGGCCUCUGGAGUUCCGGUUCCCUUGGCAGUUACAGUUUUCACUAUAAAUCCUUUAAUUGGAUAUUGGACAAAAUCCCCCACAUAGAGAUCUUUAUUUUAUGUUUGAAUCUGAUAUCACAUUGAUGUCUCACCCAUGAAUUGCCAAGAGAAAAAUUCGCUUUCUUAAUCGCAUUUUCUACCUCAUCUAUUAUUUGCAUUUUGGGUUAAUGCACUUUACUGACGUCGGAGUCUGGUUAAUAAUUUUAUUGUAGUAUUACUUCUCUUCAUGUUUGAGCUCCUUUGCCCGCAUCACCCCUUAACAAUUUAUACUUCUCUCAUGCCACUUUUUGUAUGCAUUUUUGUACUUGCACUUUAUAAUAAAGUAAUUUAUGUGAAGUUUUCCUGUCAUAUGCCUGCACUGUAAAUUGCUUGUGUCUUCUUUAUUCUUAAAAAUGGUGAUUGAAAAAAUAGUAGACAUUUAAUAAAUAUUUGUUGGGUUUAAUAA